rnacentral:lncRNA from 10 species
GAAUGCAAAGGAAAAAAAUAUUUUCCAAAGUCCAUGUGAAAUUGUCUCCCAUUUUUUGGCUUUUGAGGGGGUUCAGUUUGGGUUGCUUGUCUGUUUCCGGGUUGGGAUGGAGGGAGUUUACAGGAAGCAGACAGGGCCAACGUCGAAGCCGAAUUCCUGGUCUGGGGCACCAACGUCCAAGGGGGCCACAUCGAUGAUGG